AUUGAACGCUAGCGGUAUGCUUUACACAUGCAAGUCGAACGGCAGCGCGGACUUCGGUCUGGCGGCGAGUGGCGAACGGGUGAGUAAUGUAUCGGAACGUGCCCAGUAGCGGGGGAUAACUACGCGAAAGCGUAGCUAAUACCGCAUACGCCCUACGGGGGAAAGCAGGGGAUCGUAAGACCUUGCACUAUUGGAGCGGCCGAUAUCGGAUUAGCUAGUUGGUGAGGUAACGGCUCACCAAGGCGACGAUCCGUAGCUGGUUUGAGAGGACGACCAGCCACACUGGGACUGAGACACGGCCCAGACUCCUACGGGAGGCAGCAGUGGGGAAUUUUGGACAAUGGGGGCAACCCUGAUCCAGCCAUCCCGCGUGUGCGAUGAAGGCCUUCGGGUUGUAAAGCACUUUUGGCAGGAAAGAAACGUCGCGGGCUAAUACCCCGUGGAACUGACGGGACCUGCAGAAGAAGCACCGGCUAACUACGU
rnacentral:rRNA from 1 species